UACAGAGGUCCCAAGCGUUGUUCGGAUUCAUUGGGCGUAAAGGGUGCGUAGGCGGCGCGGUAAGCCGGGUGUGAAAUCUCGGGGCUUAACUCCGAAACUGCAUUCGAUACUGCCGUGCUUGAGGACUGGAGAGGAGACUGGAAUUUACGGUGUAGCGGUGAAAUGCGUAGAUAUCGUAAGGAAGACCAGUGGCGAAGGCGGGUCUCUGGACAGUUCCUGACGCUGAGGCACGAAGGCCAGGGGAGCAAACGGG
rnacentral:rRNA from 1 species